UCGUGAGGGAACUGCACCCCAAAACCACGCAUCUUCCCUAACAUUUUCAAAGAUAUUUUCUCUUUCCUCUCACCAUAGCUAAUCGCCACUACCUCCUCUGUCCUCUCAUCGCCCCCCCCCCCGGGCCCCCGUGCACCACAACGCAACCACUCUACCUCCUCUGUCCUGUAACUGUUCCGGCGCACAAUCACCGACUUCUCUGUUCGUUGACCACUUAUCUUCUACGCUAGUUGAUUAAAUUUUGGAAAUUAGGGUUCGUGAUUUGGGAAUUAGGAGUUAGAUCUAAUACACACGGUAGGACACUAGCGCGGCGCACCAGCGACAACACUACUUGGUCGACUCGACCGCCGGCAAUGGUGGUCAACGGAGCAAGUUUUUGUGUAAUUUUUUAGCCCAACCACGCACCUCUUUGCAUCACCAGGAUAUCGUUGCUCCUACGUGGAAGUCGCCUGAUAAAUGAACAGAGUUUUAAUUCGCUCACUCGCCUCUGGCUUUUGCCAAAAGAUCUACCAAUAAUAAAGGAAAAAGGAAGGAACUAUCACCCUAUGAUGCAGCAGCUUUGAUCCAGUGGACCUUCAGGGCUUACCUUAUUCGCAGAUCUAAGGCCCUACGUGCCCUUCGAGAGCUUGCCGUUGCAAAAACCAAGUUGAAGGAACUCAGGGCAUUGUUACAUAACUUCUCCUACCGUAACCGUGUUUCCCGUGAUGCUGAGGAGCGUCAGAAGUUCUCAGAGAAAAUCAUCGUUCUGCUCCUCACUGUGGAUGCUAUUGAGGGAGUUGAUCUGAUGGUUCAAGCCGCAAAGAGAUCAAUGGUGGACGAACUGGAGGAGCAUGGUGAGCUAAAUGAAGAAGAAAUGUAGAUCUAUGUCUUGUAUAUAGUAGUUUCCUCAAGUUCCUGCCACUUAUUCUCAAGCGAUGAUUGACGAGAGACGGGAUACUUACAUGUUUUUUCAAGCAAAAACAAGUUAUCAAUGAUCAGAUUGAUGAAGACGAAGGAAAUGGUCUUAUGUCUUGUUGAUCAUGAAUAAUCUUUGUAGCUAGUGCAUAUUAUAACUUUCUAACAAAUGUUUUGGGAAUCUCGCACCAAGUUAAUACAUUUUAAGUAGUUUGGAUUUGAACUUAUGAUUGAAGUUUGGAGAAUAUUAUGUUACAAUAGUUUUAUUUAAUUUAUUUCUUUGGAAAACAAGAAGUUGGUACAUUGGUCGGUUUAGAGAAUUUUUAUGCAUAUAUAUAUAAAGAGUUGAUGGAUUAUUAUUA